GCUAGGCACACCCCUAUGGUGGCAUAUGUCUACAGUUCUAGCUACUGGGAAGCCUGAGGCGGGAGGCUUGCUUUAGCCCUGGAGUUCUAGGCGACAGUGCACUAUGCCCAUUGGGUGUCUGCAGCAAGUUCAGCUUCAACAGGGUGACCUUCCGGGAGCAGGACCACCACGUUGCCUAAGAGGGGUGAACCUGUCCAAGUUGGAAAGGAGUGGAUCCAAACUCCUGAGCUGAUCAGUAGUGGGACCGUGCCUGUGAGCAGCCACAGUACUCCAGCCUGGGCAACAUAGCAAGACCCUGUCUCUU
rfam:Nomascus leucogenys chromosome 4, whole genome shotgun sequence.